UACGAAGGGGGCUAGCGUUGCUCGGAAUCACUGGGCGUAAAGCGCACGUAGGCGGCUUCUUAAGUCAGGGGUGAAAUCCUGGAGCUCAACUUCAGAACUGCCUUUGAUACUGAGGAGCUUGAGUCCGGGAGAGGUGAGUGGAACUGCGAGUGUAGAGGUGAAAUUCGUAGAUAUUCGCAAGAACACCAGUGGCGAAGGCGGCUCACUGGCCCGGUACUGACGCUGAGGUGCGAAAGCGUGGGGAGCAAACAGG
rnacentral:rRNA from 1 species